GACGAACGCUGGCGGCGUGCUUAACACAUGCAAGUCGAACGGAAAGGCCCUGCUUUUGUGGGGUGCUCGAGUGGCGAACGGGUGAGUAACACGUGAGUAACCUGCCCUUGACUUUGGGAUAACUUCAGGAAACUGGGGCUAAUACCGGAUAGGAGCUCCUGCUGCAUGGUGGGGGUUGGAAAGUUUCGGCGGUUGGGGAUGGACUCGCGGCUUAUCAGCUUGUUGGUGGGGUAGUGGCUUACCAAGGCUUUGACGGGUAGCCGGCCUGAGAGGGUGACCGGCCACAUUGGGACUGAGAUACAGCCCAGACUCCUACGGGAGGCAGCAGUGGGGAAUAUUGCACAAUGGGCGGAAGCCUGAUGCAGCAACGCCGCGUGCGGGAUGACGGCCUUCGAGUUGUAAACCGUUUUCGCCUGUGACGAAGCGUGAGUGACGGUAAUGGGUAAAGAAGCACCGGCUAACUACGUG
rnacentral:rRNA from 1 species